GGAGAGAUGGGUGAGCGGUUGAAACCGUUGGUCUUGAAAACCAAUUCAGGGUUUACUCUGACGGGGGUUCGAAUCCCUCUCUCUCCG
rnacentral:tRNA from 1 species